rnacentral:rRNA from 1 species
GAUGAACGCUGGCGGCGUGCCUAAUACAUGCAAGUCGAGCGAACGGACGAGAAGCUUGCUUUUCUGAUGUUAGCGGCGGACGGGUGAGUAACUCGUGGAUAACCUACCUAUAAGACUGGGAUAACUUCGGGAAACCGGAGCUAAUACCGGAUAAUAUUUUGAACCGCAUGGUUCAAAAGUGAAAGACGGUCUUGCUGUCACUUAUAGAUGGAUCCGCGCUGCAUUAGCUAGUUGGUAAGGUAACGGCUUACCAAGGCAACGAUGCAUAGCCGACCUGAGAGGGUGAUCGGCCACACUGGAACUGAGACACGGUCCAGACUCCUACGGGAGGCAGCAGUAGGGAAUCUUCCGCAAUGGGCGAAAGCCUGACGGAGCAACGCCGCGUGAGUGAUGAAGGUCUUCGGAUCGUAAAACUCUGUUAUUAGGGAAGAACAUAUGUGUAAGUAACUGUGCACAUCUUGACGGUACCUAAUCAGAAAGCCACGGCUAACUACGUG